UCAGCAAAAAUAUACCCAUUAUUCUUGUUCCUUUUGACUAGCACAAGAUGUGUACAAAAUCCUAAGAAUGAGGCUGAAGCUGCUUAGAGAAUUAUCACCGAAGGGAUCUUAAUUAGACUGAUAGGUAGCUUUUGAGAAUAAAGAGAAGAAAAAAAUCAAAUGGCUCUGCCUGGAUGUGGUAUUGAAUGCCUGGAUGUUUAAUUCAAAGGAUGAAAACAAUGGGAAAUCAAGUAACAGCCAACAAAAGAAGACAACCCUGGAUCUCAAAGAUUACAUAAAUGAAGCUCAAGUUCUGAUCAAGAUGGAAUGACUUUGAAUAUUGGUCCAAUGAUUGACUAUUAUACAGUAACCAACCUUAAAAGUUCAGAAAGACUCAUCACCAAAGGAAUGGCUGCCAGAUGAGGAGUGUAUGUGGAUUAGUGACUCAUAAAGCUACUAAUUAGAGUAUAGAAGAGUUGUAAUCUUCAAUAAAGAUAAUAUUCAAUGUCA